rnacentral:tRNA from 1 species
GCCCUCGUAGCUUAAGGAAAGCAUGACACUGAAGAUGUUAAGAUGGACUCUUGUAAGGUCUCGAGAGCA